AUACCGGAUAGUGCAUCGAUUGCUGGAAUGCACGAUGUACGAAAGCUGAGGCGCCCAAGGAUAGGUCUGUGGCCGAUUAGGUUGUUGUUGAUGUAACGGACCAACAAGCCUACGAUCGGUACGGGUUGUGAGAGCAAUAGCCCGGAGAUGGGUUCUGAGAGAAGAACCCAGGUCCUACGGGACGCAUCAGGCGCGAAAACUUUACAAUGUGCGAAAGCACGAUAAGGGAACUCUGAGUGCCUCCUAAGGAGGCUGUUCAGAUGUUUAAAAAGCAUCUGGAGGAAGGGCUGGGCAAGACCGGUGCCAGCCGCCGCGGUAACACCGGCAGCCCAAGUGGUAGUCAUGCUUACUGGGUCUAAAGCGUCCGUAGCCGGCCGGGUAAGUUCCUUGGGAAAUUUGAUCGCUUAACGAUCAAGCUACCUGGGAAUACUACUUGGCUUGGGACCGGGAGAGGUCAGAGGUACUUCAAGGGUAGGGGUGAAAUCCGUUAAUCCUUGGGGGACCACCAGUAGCGAAGGCGUCUGAUCAGACCGGAUCCGACGGUGAGGGACGAAGGCUAGGGGAGCGAAGCGGAUUAGAUACCCGCGUAGUCCUAGCUGUAAACGAUGCGGGCUA
rnacentral:rRNA from 1 species